AACGCGAAGAACCUUACCUGAUCUUGACAUCCACGGAAGGUUUCAGAGAUGAGAAUGUGCCUUCGGGAACCGUGAGACAGGUGCUGCAUGGCUGUCGUCAGCUCGUGUUGUGAAAUGUUGGGUUAAGUCCCGCAACGAGCGCAACCCUUAUCCUUUGUUGCCAGCGGUCCGGCCGGGAACUCAAAGGAGACUGCCAGUGAUAAACUGGAGGAAGGUGGGGAUGACGUCAAGUCAUCAUGGCCCUUACGACCAGGGCUACACACGUGCUACAAUGGCGCAUACAAAGAGAAGCGACCUCGCGAGAGCAAGCGGACCUCAUAAAGUGCGUCGUAGUCCGGAUUGGAGUCUGCAACUCGACUCCAUGAAGUCGGAAUCGCUAGUAAUCGUGGAUCAGAAUGCCACGGUGAAUACGUUCCCGGGCCUUGUACACACCG
rnacentral:rRNA from 1 species